rnacentral:rRNA from 1 species
UGAGGAAUAUUGCUCAAUGGGCGCAAGCCUGAAGCAGCGACGCCGCGUGGACGAUGAAGGUCUUCGGAUCGUAAAGUCCUUUUCUGUGUGACGAGGAAGGACGGUAGCACAGGAAUAAGUGUCGGCUAACUACGUGCCAGCAGCCGCGGUAACACGUAGGACGCAAGCGUUAUCCGGAAUUACUGGGCGUAAAGAGCGUGUAGGCGGUUCUGUAAGUCAACCGUGAAAGCUCCCGGCUAAACUGGGAGAGGUCGGAUGAGACUGCAGGGCUAGAGGGUCGUAGAGGGGUGUGGAAUUCCGGGUGUAGUGGUGAAAUGCGUAGAGAUCCGGAGGAACACCGAGAGGCGAAGGCGGCACCCUGGACGACACCAGACGCUGAGACGCGACAGCACGGGGAGCGAA